UACGGGGGGGGCAAGCGUUGUUCGGAAUUACUGGGCGUAAAGGGCUCGUAGGCGGCCAACUAAGUCAGACGUGAAAUCCCUCGGCUUAACCUGGGAACUGCGUUUGAAACUGGGAGACUUGAGUGUGGCAGAGGGGGGUGGAAUUCCACGUGUAGCAGUGAAAUGCGUAGAUAUGUGGAGGAACACCGAUGGCGAAGGCAGCCCCCUGGGUUAACACUGACGCUCAUGCACGAAAGCGUGGGGAGCAAACAGG
rnacentral:rRNA from 1 species